rnacentral:rRNA from 1 species
AGCAGCCGCGGUAACUCCAGCUCCAAUAGCGUAUAUUAAAGUUGUUGCAGUUAAAAAGCUCGUAGUUGAAUUUCGGGGUCAGUAGGUUGGUCGUGCCACCGGUACGUACUGGUCUCACUGAUUCCUCCUUCCUGAUGAGCUGUAAUGCCAUUAAUUUGGUGUUGCAGGGAAUCUGGACUGUUACUUUGAAAAAAUUGAGUGUUUAAAGCAGGCUAACGCUUGAAUACAUUAGCAUGGAAUAGUGAAAUAGGACGUUCGAUCCUAUUUUGUUGGUUUCUAGGAUUGACGUAAUGAUUAAUAGGGAUAGUUGGGGCAUUAGUAUUCAAUUGUCAGAGGUGAAAUUCUUGGAUUUAUUGAAGACUAACUACUGCGAAAGCAUUUGCCAAGGAUGUUUCAUUAAUCAAGAACGAAAGUUAGGGAUCGAAGACGAUCAGAUACCGUCGUAGUCUUAACCAUAGACUAUGCCGACUAGGAUCGGAUGA